rnacentral:rRNA from 1 species
GAUGAACGCUGGCGGCAUGCCUAAUACAUGCAAGUCGAACGGGAUAUCUUCGGAUAUCCAGUGGCGAACGGGUGAGUAACACGUAGGUAACCUGCCCAUGUGCCCGGGAUAACGCCUGGAAACGGGUGCUAAAACCGGAUAGGUAUCGCUUCUGCAUGGAAGAGAUAUUAAAGGAGCUGCAAGGCUCUGAACAUGGAUGGACCUGCGGUGCAUUAGCUGGUUGGUGAGGUAACGGCUCACCAAGGCGACGAUGCGUAGCCGACCUGAGAGGGUGAUCGGCCACAUUGGGACUGAGACACGGCCCAGACUCCUACGGGAGGCAGCAGUGGGAAUAUUGCACAAUGGGGGAAACCCUGAUGCAGCGACGCCGCGUGAACGAAGAAGUAUUUCGGUAUGUAAAGUUCUAUCAGCAGGGAAGAUAAAUGACGGUACCUGACUAAGAAGCACCGGCUAAAAUACGUG